rnacentral:rRNA from 1 species
UGGAUUGCUGGUCCGAGUGGAGUCGCAAGGCUUCAUAUGCUCAAGAAGUGAAGUUCACUUCGAUUCCUUGAGCUAGAUGAUUGAAGAAAGAUCGAACUGAAGAGUUUGAUCCUGGCUCAGAUUGAACGCUGGCGGCAUGCCUUACACAUGCAAGUCGAACGGUAACGCGGGGCAACCUGGCGACGAGUGGCGAACGGGUGAGUAAUGCAUCGGAACGUGCCCAGAAGUGGGGGAUAACUACUCGAAAGAGUGGCUAAUACCGCAUGAGACCUGAGGGUGAAAGCGGGGGAUCGCAAGACCUCGCGCUUUUGGAGCGGCCGAUGUCAGAUUAGGUAGUUGGUGGGGUAAAGGCCUACCAAGCCGACGAUCUGUAGCUGGUCUGAGAGGACGACCAGCCACACUGGGACUGAGACACGGCCCAGACUCCUACGGGAGGCAGCAGUGGGGAAUUUUGGACAAUGGGGGCAACCCUGAUCCAGCCAUGCCG